GACUAGACUAGAGGGUUGUUAAUGUUGUAACUCAGUGGUUCGUUGAUUGUGAUGGGUGUUCGUGGGGGGAGCUUCUCAGGUAGCUAUUAGAGGAAGAGCUUGGCUCCGACUUAGUUAUUAUACAUCAAUAGUAAUUGGAAAAUACAUGGUUUGCGUUGGAAAAAGGGGUGAGGAUAGAAGUAUUGGUAGGAUAGAAGGCGUCUUGUCUUAAGGAGGCUGGAGCGGUUUUCUCUUCGUUUAGGUAUUACGGUUUUGAAAGAUGCUGAAGGAAAUUUCACUAACACCAGUAUUAAAUAUUAGGAUAAAAGUGAGUGUAAGCUUGAACUAGAUUAGCUUGGAUGUUCUGGUUAAUUUUGGUGCCAGCAGCUGCGGUUAGACCAAAGGAGCGAGGUGUAUGGUAAAUGGUUGGGUGGUUAGUAUAGUUUGGAAGAUUUCAUAUACCAUGAAGAAGUAAAAAUGAGUUUGUAAAGAGAUGGGGUAGAGGUAAAAUUCAGCCUGUUCUAAAUACUGAAGGAAGCGAUGUGAGAAAAGAUGAAGCCACGAGAAUCCCUGAAGGGAACUGGGACUAGAUACCCCACUACCCUAGGGUGUAAAUUGAUCUAGCGCCAGGGUACUACGAGCAUAAAAGUGCUUAAAAUCCAAAGAGCUUGGCGGUGCUACAGACUGGUUAGGGGAACCUGCCUCGUAAUCGAUGGUCCACGAGACACCUGGCCUUUUUUUGCAAAACAGUUUGUAUACCGUCGUCGUCAGCCCGCCCUUAAGGGUGAUGAACAAUUGAGUGGGCAGGAGAAAGAGAAGUUUUUGACGUCAGAUCAAGGUGCAGCUUAUGGAAAGAGUGAGGGUGGGUUACAAUUGAGAGUGAUAUUCAAGAACGGAAGUGUUUUUGAAAAAGGACAUUGAAGGUGGACUUAAAAGUAAUAGGAAUUAAUAUAGAUAGUAUGAACGAAGCUCUGAAGCGUGCACAUAUCGCCCGUCGCUCUCGCCGAAAGGUGAGAUAAGUCGUAACAUAGUAGGGGUAACGGAAGUUGUUCCU
rnacentral:rRNA from 1 species